UGACCGCGCCAGGCGGGGCCGAGCCUGUCGGGGAGGCCGGAAGGCGGCGGUGAGUGGGCUGAAGUUGGCUGGACCUUGGCCCAUCAACUGAGGUCCAGCAGCGUGUCUGACAGCUACCAUCGUGGUGAAGCCGCAAAGAGCAGAAGCCGUAUCUUAAGAAUGUCCCCAGAGCUCAUCUAGAUUUGAUGUCCCCGCUCUUCUGUUUUACCGCCCACUCCGUCCUGGACCAGCUGCAGCGUUCUGAAUCGGUGCCAUAACCAGAUGCCCAAACUGUGGCCUCUGUGGGGCCAAAGGCCAGCUUUCUCAAAGACUCAGCAGUGGCUGUGCCACCGCCGUCGUCAGUCGUAUCCCUGCAGCCCCCAAACACCCUCCGUGUGCCGAUGUGCUGAUGACCACCUUCGCAGAACUCCGGUCCAAGAGCUCCGGACCCGACCCACCUUCCUAAAUGAUGUUCGUCUUGCGUCCUGAAGCGGCGUCUCCAACUUGGAGAAAUAGCGAUUACAGAAAUACUGCUAAAACUCUCCUUCAGCCUGCCCGGCCCUGACUUCCUUCACGGGUCACCCGUGGCUCCGACAACAGAGCUCCGCUUCUGCCCGCGCAUCCAAUUCGUGUCCGCUCCCUCUCUUUCCUCCCCUCUGACCCCCUCCCUGCCUCCAUCGUCCGGCUUCUGGGAGACCACAGCCUCCUCCCCAAAGCUGCUGUCCUUCCUCCGCGUGGCGGCCAGAGUGAGCCUUGGAAAAGACCCCUCUUCAGGAGACACGAGCGUUCACUGGUUUCCUGCUUUGCUUGGAAUAAGACGCCACCACCCCACCAUGCCAGCCCCCUGCUUCUCCUUGGAAUUCCUUCCUGGGGCCUUCAGGGCCUGCCUCCUCACUCAUCUCACUCCUCCAGGAAGCCCUCUCUGACCACUGCCACACCUCUCUGCUCAGUCUGGAAGUUCCUAGUGUGCAGUUUUAAGCCCCGCUGGGACCCAGGCUCCUUGAGGGCAAGCCCUCCGAUUUGGUUCGUACUUUUCAAUCCCCCAGCACCUAGAACAAUGCCCAGCACACAGAGCUCAACCGUUGUUUGCCGACGGGCUCCUGAAGUGAUGGAGCAAGUUUAUCAGUGAAGGAUACGUUUGUGAGCACUGGGAACCCUCCCCAGCACAGCCAGACCUGCCCGUGGUCUCUUGACAGUUUUAAAAAAAAUUCUCGAAUGCUGCCCUCCCCAUCAGUCAACCUCAUGAGCUGGUCCUGUUUAACUCCCUUCCCUGCUAGCCUGCCACAGGCUGAGAGACAAACACCUCCCUCGUCCCCAUUUGUCCCCUGCGAUGUCAGACCUGCAGGAGUGGGAAGGGCUUGUGUGCUAACUCAUCUCUGCAGGGAGACGUAAAAUUGGCCCAUAAAUAAAACCUUCUGUCGUUCAGCUCGAACGUUAAAUUUCAUCGGUCUGUAGCAUGUGUUUCAUUAUAGCUGACACCAACGCGUCCUUAAAAUCGGAAUUCUGGAACGCUGCCCUGGCUUGCAGAAUUCCCACAAGGAGACUCCAGCGCGGCCUCGGAGACAGGCUCUGGACCUCACCUUCCAAAGUGGUCCUGGCAGCCACGUUUUUAUUUCACGUGGCACUUCAUGCUGAUUGAAUAAGUGCCAUCAGACGCUCUCAUCUGCAUCCAGCUGCUUCCAGUCUGCAGGCUGGAAGCCAGUCCCGCAGCCAAAGCGGCUGGAAUUGGGUCCACAGUGGAAAAGGUAAGACCAGAAGCGGGUGGCUCUCCAAAGUCAGCUGAGGGGAAGGAAGAGGCCGCCAUCGACGCCAGGCUCUCCGGCCGGCGUUACACCUCUGCUACUCAGAGUACGGGACCAGCCGCCUCAGCAUCAUUUGAGAGCUUGCUGUGCGGAAAUCUCUGGCUUCACCCAGAUUUACAAACUCAGACUCUGCAUCUUAACGAGGCCUGCAGGAUUGGUACGCACACCACGGGCCGCGGGUUCCCCCUCACGUGAGGAACACAGCUGAUUUGACUCCGAGGCCCUUCUCGGGUCCUUUCCGGGAAGCAGGGUGUGAGGACCCCGGUGGCAGUCACCAGCUUCUACCGCGACACAAGAGAGCAAGAGAGAGAGGGGAAGGGAAGUGUGUGCCCUUGCAAUGGCCGUCUUCACGGACGGGUUGGCCCUGUCUUCCCAAGGUGAAGUACCGUCCGCAAUUUCUCUGCAGACUCCGGAGAGCGGUCCCGCAGGCGCCCCUGGACUACAGUGGCAAGAAGGUGCUUCUGAGUUUCUGUCUCCCUGGAGCCCAACAACCUCUCGAGGGGGACGGUAAUCCUGCCCGCUCCCUCGUGGGCGUGCGUUUCGGACCAUCAGGUGGGAAGCAGUUUGCCGGCUCAGAGCGGGACACAGCGUAGGAUGUGAUCCUCGCGUCACCUAGGCCAGGUGCCUGAUGCCUCCGCCCUGCGAGGUCACCUCAUGUCGCCCCUCGCCGGGAGGCCCCAUCGGGGUCCCCCCCGCCACUGCUGUGUUUUCUGCUCCCUCUACUCCCACACUAACCUGAGGGCCUCGUGGGUCUGCUGUCCUGCCUUGCGAUACAAGUACCCGCAUACGGUUCUGCCCUUUGUACGAGGACACGUACUUCCCAGGCCUUAUGUCCCUCGUGGGCACUGAAUCACAGCCUGGUUCUAAAGGGACCUGAGAGGGCAGGGUUACCUGUGUUUAAGUGUUCAGGGUCACCAGGGCUUAGGCCCAGCUCCACGAUUUAUUAGCUUUGUGGUUCUGCGUGAGCCGCUUAACCGUGACUCCGUUUCCCCGUUUGCAAAGCGGGUAACUGACAGGAUCCCUGGGAAUAGUAAAUAAAAACAUGUUAAGUAUUUUGUACCAGCAUCUACAUUAGCUGAUAUGCAUUAGCUGUUAUUAAACCGUAUUUCAAAGCCGCUAAGAUACAUCAAUUGUGAGACGUAUCCUUGAUUUCAGAGAUGUCAAAAUGGUAUUCAUUCCACAGAAAAAGCCAAAGAUGUUUGGGAAAUACCGAGUGUCUUUGCUGCAAGGUGGCUCAGAACCCUUAAAUGCUACCUUUGAUGGGGCCUCCAGGGCCAUAUGGGUGUCCAUAUUCAGGGUCUCCCGGGCGUGGGCAACGGAGCCCUUUUGUCGUGGAGCACGCUGAGCAUCUGUGGACACGGUUUAGGAAUGCCAGUCAAGUCCAAAGCUCUAAUUCACAGAUGGCGGGACUGAGGCCCAGAGCCAGGAGGAGACUUCCUGAAGUUACCCAGCUGGUUAAGUGGUGGAGACUAGGCCACUGAACAGCCAGACUGGAGCCUCCCCCACUGAGCCACACUGCCCCCCACCUAACCUGCCGCCUACAGCACUUGAUAGUUUGCAAGGUCCUGCCCCAACACCAACCUCAGGAGGCAUCUGGCCCCCAGCCAGAUCCUGGGCCAGGAGUGGAACGAGGCCCAACCUUUGUGACUCUGGGGUGGGGGGCAGUGAGCCAGGAAGGCCUGAAAGACCCAGGGCAGGAGGCUGUCCCGAAACAGGGCUGACCCUGGCUUCUUCCCAGUGGGCUGGGACGCAGGCCAUCACCCACCUGCCCUCCCCCAUAGGCAGCGCCGCCGCCACCGUGUAGGGGAUGGCAGACCCCCGGGUUCACUGUCACUCCGUCGCCAAGGCAACCACAGGGACCUGCCGGGCAGGCUGCGGACCACAGUUACGGAAUCCGCUGGAAACUGCUUUCAUCGCAGCGGUUGAUGUGGCCGCUUUGCUUUGAGAGCACUUUGUGUUUCACUGGCUGAGGUGAAUUACCACGAGGGCUCGUUAAACAAUUCAUCGACUUUUAA